rnacentral:lncRNA from 1 species
AUGUGUUUAAGGCAUGAUCAAGCAAACAAACGACAGAAUACUUUUUCUGAAACCUUAACUGUGAUACCUGUUAUGGCAGCUAACAGACACUCGGCGCAUGGCUCCUUUGUUUACGUUAGGGAUCAGCUGUUAGCGCUGCGCCCUGCAGCUGCGCUACCGGCAGACAGACCCUACGUCCCCAGUGAGGGAAGAGACGGGGGUGAUGUCUCCCGAGAAGGACACCUUACACACCAUCUCUCCUUCCUGUAAUCACUGUAAACGUGAGAUCGCUCCCUGAUAUGAUUGAGGAGCUAAUGACGCUAACCCGGUCACAGUGGCAGUACCCCGACACUGCCCGGUACUCCCUCUGUGAGUAGGCUGCCCGGCUUCCAGCUGCUGCGGCCGGACAAGACCAGAGACAGCGGUGAGAGGAAAGGAGGGGGACUGGGCAGUGUUUGUUAAAGACAGUUGUGGUAUCCCUGGGCACAUUGCUGUGAAAGAACAACUCUGCAACAGAGACAUUGAGCUAUUAGCCGUUAGCAUCCGUGGAGGCAGCCUGUGACUCUCUGUGGUCCGCAGACUGCAGACGCAAUCUCCGAGAGCUCUUCUUCUAAUAUCAGGGGACUUUAAUCAUGUCUCGCUGGACUCCACACUGCCCACCUUCACCCAGUAUGUGACCUGCCCCACCGUAGGCAAUAAAACAUUGUACUUAAUGUAUGCCAAUGAAAAAGUGGCAUACAGUUCAUCACCUCUCCCUGCCCAGGGAAGAUCUGAUCGUAACCUAGUGCACCUUGUCCCUGUGUGCAGCACUUGUGCACGGAGCCACCAAUCACCCACGCAGUGCAGAGAUGGUCCGCGGAGGGCAUAUGAAUAAAUAAUAAAAGCAAAUAAAUGACAGAAUGCUUUUUCUGAAACAAACGGAGACCUUAACUUUUAUCAAAAUACCAUUUUACUCAGUUUAAAGUAAUACCACUGUAUAAUAGCCUUCAAAUUUAAUAAUGUUAACAGUAUCUCAGGAAUAUUUUUGCCCCAUCAACAUGCAUUAAAAAUAGAUAUGCAGUUUUGAAUCAGACCUGUAUGUACGUUUUCUGAAAAGUGAUGUAAAUAAAUAAUCUCAAAAACAUGAAAUAAUUGUUUCCCAUGUAAACUGGAGUUGUCCUUGUCAAUGUCAUCAGAGUACUCUGGAUGUCUUACAUGAAUUUGAAACAGAGAGUGGCACAUGACAGCGUUGUACAUAACAUAACUAGUUUACCUGUAUGACAUGAAGUAAUUUAAAAAAAAAAAAAAAGAAUCCAUGUAACUUGGUUAUGGCUUCUUUCUGAUAACUGUAGAUACAAAUGGGCUGCAGUGUGCAUUAUCUUGACAUAAGUAUAAGAUACUGAACCCGCUGAUAUGAUGUGGUGGAGGAACACAACUACCUGGACACCCACAUAUAUACAUUUGCUGAACUGGAAGAUCAAAACAGAGGCUGUACACAAGAAGUGGAUGGGCAGGCGGGUUUUUGAGAACAAGCUUAUGUGUGCACCAAAAUGUUAAUGACAGGUGUUCUGUCAGUUCAGGUGAGUGCAGUGCACUUUGAUGUGUUCUUCUUGGAUCAGGAGAGCACGUUCUGUGCUCCGGAAGCUGUGGUGGAGAGGAAGUGAGUGAACAAACUGCCAUGCAUCAUGGAUAUUCCUCUCAAUCCACCUCAUCAGGUACCUCUCUAAAAGUGUGACUCAGGUCUGUUGCCCCAAAGGAUACAGGAAAUGCACUGAUUUCCAGGACAGAAUCGUGUCUGUUUAAUGCUCCAUGAUGAUAACUUUCCUGUGAGCGUUUGAAGAUCACUGACAUCAUGGCUUUUAGCCUCAUUGUUUCUGCAAAGAGAUUUCUCCAGUCACUGAAUCUUUUGAUAAAAUAUAUUUUUAUGCCUCUAGAGGAUGGAAUAUUUUAAGUCUUUACAACUUUACAUUUGGGAACAUUAUUCUGAAAUUGUUGCACAAUUUGUUAAUGGAGUUUUUUUGCAGCUUGAUCAACCUCUGCCCAUAUUUCCUCCAGAGCAACUCUGCUUCUCUAAGAUGCUCUUUUAAUAUCUAAUCAUGUAACUGACCUGUUACUUUUAAAAUAUCCCUGCAGCUGUUUCUUUUUAGUACCACUUUUUCCAGCCUUCUCUUGCCCCAUCUCAACUGUUUUGAAACAUAUUGCUGCCAUCAAAUUAAAAUGGACUUAUUUUUAACGACAUAGUCUCGGUGUAAACAUUUGACAUGUUUUCUAUGUUCUACUGUGAAUAAACUUUGCCUUUCACAUUUGCAAAUCAGUGCUUGCUCUUUUUUUAUUCACAUUUUACACUGGAGUCCAGUAUUUUCAGAACUAUGUUUGUACAAAGCAUAAUCUGUACAAAGCAAAACAUAAUGUGCUCGGUGUGAACUGUCACAACAUCAAACACACGCUAAACCACUUUAUAUCUACUACACUAUACUGAGCCACUUCAAUACCUACUAUACAGUUUUUUAUUUUUUAAUUAUUUACUGUCACUGCUUUAUAGUUGUAUUUAUCAAUAUCAACAGCUGUAACCUUUAGAUUAAUCAAGUUGACUUUAUCGAGAUUCAGCUUCAGUUGUAUACUUUCCAUUUCACAACUUCCAUCUUAUACACUUUAAAAAUCACUCAACAUUUUUUAUUUUCAGUGUCACACAGCUCGUUCUUGUAUCUCCACUACUCAAUGGUACAUAGUAAACACGUAUUAUAACUUUUCACAUUAUAUGUAUCCAGUCACCUAGAUAUUUUGAAGUCUUUCCACUUGCUGCUAUUAUGUUU